rnacentral:rRNA from 1 species
UACGUAGGGGGCAAGCGUUGUCCGGAUUUACUGGGCGUAAAGGGCGCGUAGGCGGCAAUUCAAGUCAGCUGUGAAAUCUCCGGGCUUAACUCGGAACGGUCAGCUGAUACUGCUUUGCUAGAGUGCAGAAGGGGCAAUCGGGAAUUCUUGGUGUAGCGGUGAAAUGCGUAGAUAUCAGGAAGAACACCAAUGGCGAAGGCAGCUCUCUGGGACGGUACUGGACGCUGAAGACGCGAAAGCGUGGGGAGCGAACAGG